rnacentral:lncRNA from 1 species
ACACUCACUUACUAUCCAAUUAUAGGUAGACCAAACAUCGAGUUGGAUAAAGAGCAUUAUAGAACAGAUCGAGACUCCUGACCUCAAAAAGGUAGUUGCUAAGUUAUCAAAUGUAUAUCCAAAGGACACAGAAGCUCCAGCUGGUGGUGUUGAUCACAUGACAAAACUAUCAUAUUUGCAUGAGCCAGGAGUCCUGCAGAAAUAAGAGACCAAACAUUGAGUUGGAUAAAGAGCAUUAUAGAACAGAUGGUC